rnacentral:rRNA from 1 species
AGGUUGUUGGUGAGGUAACGGCUCACCAAGCCUUUUACCGGUGCGGGCCGUGGGAGCGGGAGCCCGGAGAUGGGAACUGAGACAAGGUCCCAGGCCCUACGGGGCGCAGCAGUCGCGCAAACUUCGCAAUAAGCGAAAGCUUGACGGGGCUAUCCCGAGUGCCAUCCGCUGAGGAUGGCUUUUCUCUAGUAUAGAUAGCUGGGGGAAUAAGGAGAGGGCAAGUCUGGUGUCAGCCGCCGCGGUAAUACCAGCUCUCCGAGUGGUGUGGACGAUUAUUGGGCCUAAAGCAUCCGUAGCCGGCUGUGCAAGUCCCCUGUUAAACCCAACGAUUCAAUCGUUGGCUCGCGGGGGAUACUGCGCGGCUAGGGGGCGAGAGAGGCCGUCGGUAUUCCCGGGGUAGGGGUGAAAUCCUAUAAUCCCGGGAGGACCACCAGUGGCGAAGGCUGUCGGCUAGAACGCGCUCGACGGUGAGGGAUGAAAGCUGGGGGAGCGAACCGGAUUAGAUACCCGGGUAGUCCCAGCUGUAAACGAUGCAGGCUAGGUGUUAGGGCGGCCACGUGCCGCUCUAGUGCCGCAGGGAAGCUGUUAAGCCUGCCGCCUGGGGAGUACGGCCGCAAGGCUGAAACUUAAAGGAAUUGGCGGGGGAGCACCACAAGGGGUGAAGCUUGCGGUUUAAUUGGAGCAACGCCGGAAAUCUCACCGGGGGCGACAGCAGGAUGAAAGCCAGAUUAAAGGUCUUGCCAGACGAGCUGAGAGGAGGUGCAUGGCCGUCGCCAGUUCGUGCCGUGAGGUGUCCUGUUAAGUCAGGCAACGAUCGAGACCCGCGUUCCCCGUUGCUACCAGCCUUGUGCUGGGCACACUGGGAAGACCGCCGUCGAUAAGACGGAGGAAGGAGCGGGCCACGGCAGGUCAGUAUGCCCCGAAUCUCCCGGGCCACACGCGAGCUGCAAUGGCAGGUACAAUGGGUUCCGACCUCGAAAGGGGGAGGCAAUCUCGAAAACCUGCCGUAGUUGGGAUCGAGGGUUGUAACCCACCCUCGUGAACAUGGAAUCCCUAUUAAUCGCACGUCAUUAUCGUGCGGUGAAUACGUCCCUGCUCCUUGCACACACCGCCCGUCGUUCCACCCGAGCGAUUUUUGGGUGAGGCGUGGUCUUCCUUGGCUGCGUCGAAUCUGAGUUUCGUAAGGGGGGAAAAGUCGUAACAAGGUG